AGCGAACGCUGGCGGCAGGCUUAACACAUGCAAGUCGAGCGGGCAUUCUUGUGGUGUCAGCGGCAGACGGGUGAGUAACGCGUGGGAACGUGCCCUGCGGUUCGGCAUAACUCAGGGAAACUUGAGCUAAUACCGGAUACGUGCGAGAGCAGAAAGGUUUAUCUGCCGAAGGAUCGGCCCGCGUCUGAUUAGCUAGUUGGUGAGGUUAUGGCUCACCAAGGCGACGAUCAGUAGCUGGGCUGAGAGGAUGAUCAGCCACACUGGGACUGAGACACGGCCCAGACUCCUACGGGAGGCAGCAGUGGGGAAUAUUGGACAAGGGGGGGAACCCUGAUCCAGCCAUGCCGCGUGAGUGAUGACGGCCUUAGGGUUGUAAAGCUCUUUUCUCCGGGACGAUAAUGACGGUACCGGAGGAAUAAGCCCCGGCUAACUUCGUG
rnacentral:rRNA from 1 species